CGCCGCCGGAAGGCUCGAGCGGACGGCCGACGGAGAAAAGCGGCGGACGGCUCCGGUGCCCCCCGCCCUACUCCCCCGCCCGUCCGCCGCUCUGCUCUCCGCUUUGCGAGUGCCGCCCGCCACGCCACCUUCCUCACCGGGCCCCCUUAAGAGCCGUGCCUUUUACGGUGGCGCCGGAGGGUCAAAACAAAAAAAAAAAAAAGAGAGAGAGAGAGAGAGAGAGAGAGAGAGAGAGAGAGGGGGCUGCGGGGGGGUGGGGAAAAAAAUCGGCACCGGCGGACCCCGCCGCGCUGCCCCGGGCUGGGCUCCGAGCGGUGGGGACGGCCCCGGUGAGCGCUCGGUCGUCCCGGAGCGGUGCAGGGAGCGAUGCCAGAGAAGCGGCGGACCGCGGCAGGCACGCGCGGGGAAGUUCCCUUUUUCCCUGGGUAUCGAAUAAUCGCAGAAUGUUCCGUUCUUACCUUUGAUGUCCAACUCCGAACUCCCGCGGAUCAAUGGCCACAAAGUUGGCGGAAUUGGGAAUUUGGGACUUCGACACUUCUGGAAAAAAAAUGCCAACGGUUUAGCCAGGAUCUCCCCGUCUGAUUCGUUACUAUUAUUAUAUCUGAUGAUGUGGAUAGAUGGAAGGACUCAAUCCAAGCCCAUUAAUGAGCGAUUUUAUAAACGCCGCCGUCGGAGGAUCUCCAUUCACACGGCGUCAGGGAUCUCUCCCAGCAGCAGAGCCGUGCGGAUCCCGGGACUUCAGCACAGCUCCGAUCAGAGCACGCCGCCUCGUCAAUCCAUUAAUGUUUUAUAGCAUGUAAAUAUUUCAUAAAGUUUUUAGGAAAACUAUCGAUUCUAAAUUAUUAAACUAGUCAGAAGGGCGUUUGAAUAAUGCAUACGAUUAAAUACACUUAAAUAUA